rnacentral:rRNA from 1 species
GGAAACGGUAGCUAAAACCGGAUAGGUAUACAGAGCGCAUGCUCAGUAUAUUAAAGCGCCCAUCAAGGCGUGAACAUGGAUGGACCUGCGGCGCAUUAGCUAGUUGGUGAGGUAACGGCCCACCAAGGCGAUGAUGCGUUGCCGGCCUGAGAGGGUAAACGGCCACAUUGGGACUGAGACACGGCCCAAACUCCUACGGGAGGCAGCAGUAGGGAAUUUUCGUCAAUGGGGGAAACCCUGAACGAGCAAUGCCGCGUGAGUGAAGAAGGUCUUCGGAUCGUAAAGCUCUGUUGUAAGUGAAGAACGGCUCAUAGAGGAAAUGCUAUGGGAGUGACGGUAGCUUACCAGAAAGCCACGGCUAACUACGUGCCAGCAGCCGCGGUAAUACGUAGGUGGCAAGCGUUAUCCGGAAUCAUUGGGCGUAAAGGGUGCGUAGGUGGCGUACUAAGUCUGUAGUAAAAGGCAAUGGCUCAACCAUUGUAAGCUAUGGAAACUGGUAUGCUGGAGUGCAGAAGAGGGCGAUGGAAUUCCAUGUGCAGCGGUAAAAUGCGUAGAUAUAUGGAGGAACACCAGUGGCGAAGGCGGUCGCCUGGUCUGUAACUGACACUGAGGCACGAAAGCGUGGGGAGCAAAUAGGGUUAGAUACCCUAGUAGUCCACGCCGUAAACGAUGAGAACUAAGUGUUGGAGGAAUUCAAUGCUGCAGAUAACGCAAUAAAGUUCUCCGCCUGGGGAGUAUGCACGCAAGUGUGAAACUCAAAGGAAUUGACGGGGGCCCGCACAAGCGGUGGAGUAUGUGGUUUAAUUCGAAGCAACGCGAAGAACCUUACCAGGCCUUGACAUGGAAACAAAUACCCUAGAGAUAGGGGGAUAAUUAAGGAUCACACAGGUGGUGCAUGGUUGUCGUCAGCUCGUGUCGUGAGAUGUUGGGUUAAGUCCCGCAACGAGCGCAACCCUUGUCGCAUGUUACCAGCAUCAAGUUGGGGACUCAUGCGAGACUGCCGGUGACAAACCGGAGGAAGGUGGGGAUGACGUCAAAUCAUCAUGCCCCUUAUGGCCUGGGCUACACACGUACUACAAUGGCGACCACAAAGAGCAGCGACACAGUGAUGUGAAGCGAAUCUCAUAAAGGUCGUCUCAGUUCGGAUUGAAGUCUGCAACUCGACUUCAUGAAGUCGGAAUCGCUAGUAAUCGCAGAUCAGCAUGCUGCGGUGAAUACGUUCUCGGGCCUUGCACACACCGCCC